rnacentral:rRNA from 1 species
AAUACCCGAUAGGUCUCGAUUGCUGGAAUGCAUCGAGAUUUAAAGCUCCGGCGCCUAAGGAUGGGUCUGCGGCCUAUCAGGUAGUAGUGGGUGUAGCGUACCUACUAGCCUACGACGGGUACGGGUUGUGAGAGCAAGAGCCCGGAGAUGGAUUCUGAGACACGAAUCCAGGCCCUACGGGGUGCAGCAGGCGCGAAAACUUUACAAUGCUGGCAACAGCGAUAAGGGAACCUCGAGUGCCAGGUUACAAAUCUGGCUGUCGAGAUGCCUAAAAAGCAUUUCAUAGCAAGGGCCGGGCAAGACCGGUGCCAGCCGCCGCGGUAACACCGGCGGCUCGAGUGGUAACCGUUAUUAUUGGGUCUAAAGGGUCUGUAGCCGGCCGGAUAAGUCUCUUGAGAAAUCUGGCAGCUUAACUGUCAGGCUUUCAGGAGAUACUGUCUGGCUCGAGGCCGGGAGAGGUGAGAGGUACUUCAGGGGUAGGGGUGAAAUCUUGUAAUCCUUGAAGGACCACCAGUGGCGAAGGCGUCUCACCAGAACGGACCUGACGGCAAGGGACGAAAGCUAGGGGCACGAACCGGAUUAGAUACCCGGGUAGUCCUAGCCGUAAACGAUACUCGCUAGGUGUCGGCCACGGUGCGACCGUUGUCGGUGCCGUAGGGAAGCCGUGAAGCGAGCCACCUGGGAAGUACGGCCGCAAGGCUGAAACUUAAAGGAAUUGGCGGGGGAGCACCACAACGGGUGGAGCUUGCG